GUGAACGCUGGCGGUAGGCCUAACCCAUGCAAGUCGCACGGCAGCACAGUAAGAGCUUGCUCUUACGGGUGGCGAGUGGCGGACGGGUGAGGAAUACAUCGGAAUCUACUUUUUCGUGGGGGAUAACGGAGGGAAACUUACGCUAAUACCGCAUACGACCUACGGGUGAAAGCAGGGGAUCUUCGGACCUUGCGCGAUUGAAUGAGCCGAUGUCGGAUUAGCUAGUUGGCGGGGUAAAGGCCCACCAAGGCGACGAUCCGUAGCUGGUCUGAGAGGAUGAUCAGCCACACUGGAACUGAGACACGGUCCAGACUCCUACGGGAGGCAGCAGUGGGGAAUAUUGGACAAUGGGCGCAAGCCUGAUCCAGCCAUACCGCGUGGGUGAAGAAGGCCUUCGGGUUGUAAAGCCCUUUUGUUGGGAAAGAAAAGCAGCAGGUUAAUACCCCGCUGUUCUGACGGUACCCAAAGAAUAAGCACCGGCUAACUUCGUG
rnacentral:rRNA from 1 species